UACGGGGGGGCAAGCGUUGUUCGGAAUUACUUGGCGUAAAGGGUCUGUAGGUGGCCAACUAAGUCAGACGUGAAAUCCCUCAGCUUAACUGGGGAACUGCGUCUGAUACUGGAUGGCUUGAGUGCAGGAGAGGAACGCGGAAUUCCAGGUGUAGCGGUGAAAUGCGUAGAUAUCUGGAGGAACACCGGUGGCGAAGGCGGCGUUCUGGACUGCAACUGACACUGAGACACGAAGGCCAGGGGAGCAAACGGG
rnacentral:rRNA from 1 species